rnacentral:rRNA from 1 species
CGGUGUUCAACUGGCGUGUCCGCGGGACGUCCUGCCGGUGGGCUUAGCCCGCAAGGGCGGCCCAACUUCAAAUCCCAUCGCGGUGCUCUUCACUGAGUGUCGAGGUGGGCCGGCACGUUUACUUUGAACAAAUUAGAGUGCUUAAAGCAGGCUAAAACUUCGCCUGAAUACUGUGUGCAUGGAAUAAUGGAAUAGGACCUCGGUUCUAUUUUGUUGGUUUUCGGAACCCCGAGGUAAUGAUUAAUAGGAACGGAUGGGGGCAUUCGUAUUGCGACGUUAGAGGUGAAAUUCUUGGAUCGUCGCAAGACGGACAGAAGCGAAAGCAUUUGCCAAAAACGCUUUCAUUGAUCAAGAACGAAAGUUAGAGGUUCGAAGGCGAUCAGAUACCGUCCUAGUUCUAACCAUAAACGAUGCCAGCUAGCGAUCCGUCGACGUUCCUCCGAUGACUCGACGGGCAGCUUCCGGGAAACCAAAGCUUUUGGGUUCCGGGGGAAGUAUGGUUGCAAAGCUGAAACUUAAAGGAAUUGACGGAAGGGCACCACCAGGAGUGGAGCCUGCGGCUUAAUUUGACUCAACACGGGAAACCUCACCAGGCCCGGACACCGGAAGGAUUGACAGAUUGAGAGCUCUUUCUUGAUUCGGUGGGUGGUGGUGCAUGGCCGUUCUUAGUUGGUGGAGCGAUUUGUCUGGUUAAUUCCGAUAACGAACGAGACUCUAGCCUGCUAACUAGGCGUAUUUUCGACAUCUCAAAGGUCCGUCGUCCCGGCCCUCGGGUCGUGGGCGUGCGCGAUUUUUACUGUCGGCGUACUAUCAAUUCUUCUUAGAGGGACAGGUGGCUUCUAGCCGCACGAGAUUGAGCAAUAACAGGUCUGUGAUG